rnacentral:lncRNA from 1 species
AUGAUCAUGGCUCUCCAAACCACCAAACCUCACCUCUAGCUUCCUUUGCAGUGUGAACAUGCCUGAGAAGGGAAUGCAUGACUGUUUUGCAUUUUGCACACCUCACUUGUGGGAGGCCGAUACACACUGGUUUUUAUUAUUGAAUCAAAUAAAAUUAUGUUUAAAGAAAUAUUUUUGAGUAAAAAAAUAUUUGCAGGUGAUUGCCAUUAUAAUAGUGAAUACUUUUACAGUACUGACGGUAAUAACAAACUCCUCCGAGCUAAGGGAGCAUGUUCUAACCCAAUGCAAGGAAGCUAAGAACCUUGAAAAAUGGUUAGAACAUAGCCUUCACCCAGAACCAUUCGAUUUGGGAAAACUAUGGAACAUGGUUUCAUUUCAUUUUCCAUUCCAAGGGUUCCUCUUGCACAAUGCAAAUCCUCCCUAGGGGCAACUCUAAUCUAAUUCACCUUAUGGAAUAUAUUUCCUUCUGACUGGAGAGACCAACUCACAAAUUCUUACCAUCAGUUCAGAUCUCCCUUAUGAAAUGUAAGAGAACUACUUAUGCUUACUUAUGAAAAGUAAGCGGUGAGAUUAUAUACUCUGUGUCUCUGUAUAAAGAAAAUCAACAUGCCUAAACUAAAUCAAUAGUCUCUCCUCUGCACCCACCCAGGCUACCGAUCCUCCAGUGUCCCUCACUGUAGUAAAUGUCACCACCAUUUAUUGAGUGGAGUAGCAGCAUCUUUUCACCACCUCUGUGUUCUCCACUAGACUUCAAGGUACUUAUGAAGAGGGACUAUGUCUGAGUUUAUGCAUUAUUAUGUUCCUAACACCUGGGAGAAGGUCUGGUACCCAGUUGACUCUUGGUAAGUAUUUGUUGAAUAAAUGAAUGAAUGAAUGAAUAAGUGUUUAAUAAAUAUUUGUUGAAUAAAUGAACAAAUAAGUCCUGAUAAAGAAGUGAAACUGCUGAGUUUAAUUAUUAGUUUCAUUGUUCAGGUGAAACAUUGAGAUGGAGCUGUCACUCCUCUCUACCCCAAGUGAAAGAUGCUGGGGGAAGCAGAAUCAUACUUCAGAAAAAGCCAAUAAUACCAUGUUCUUUAUCAGCCAUUUCUACCUGGAGGAAGAGCAUGCCUGGUCGCUGGAGAAUAAAGUCCUGGAACCAGGCCUGAGUGAAGAGUG